rnacentral:hammerhead_ribozyme from 1 species
AUCCAGUUGACGAGUACCAAAUAGGACGAAACUUGUGUCAAACUGGAU